rnacentral:lncRNA from 1 species
UUCCCAGGAUACGGCACACGCGUUGGUGGGCUUCGGAUCAAGCCUACCAUCUGAGAAGAUGAAAUUGGGUCUUGCCAUGUUGCUCACUCUGGUCUCGAUCUCCUGCCCUCAAGUAAUCCUCACACCUUUGCCUCCCAAAGUCCUGGAAUUACAGGUAUGAGCCAUCAUGCUAGGGGGAGUACUGAUGUUCCUUAAUACUCUUCAGCUUCAAAGCAUCACAUACUUGUUAUGACCCUCAGUUAAAUAGGUGCUGUGCUUCCCUAGGAAAUAAAGUAUGGAACGUGUAAGAGAGCUGUGGGUCUUAGGAAUUGUCUGCGAAG